GACGAACGCUGGCGGCGUGCUUAACACAUGCAAGUCGAACGGAAAGGCCCUGCUUUUGUGGGGUGCUCGAGUGGCGAACGGGUGAGUAACACGUGAGUAACCUGCCCUUGACUUUGGGAUAACUUCAGGAAACUGGGGCUAAUACCGGAUAGGAGCUCCUGCUGCAUGGUGGGGGUUGGAAAGUUUCGGCGGUUGGGGAUGUACUCGCGGCUUAUCAGCUUGUUGGUGGGGUAGUUGCUUACCAAGGCUUUGACGGGUAGCCGGCCUGGGAGGGGGACCGGCCACAUUGGGACUGAGAUACGGCCCAGACUCCUACGGGAGGCAGCAGUGGGGAAUAUUGCACAAUGGGCGGAAGCCUGAUGCAGCAACGCCGCGUGCGGGAUGACGGCCUUCGGGUUGUAAACCGCUUUCGCCUGUGACGAAGCGUGAGUGACGGUAAUGGGUAAAGAAGCACCGGCUAACUACGUG
rnacentral:rRNA from 1 species